UUGAUCCUGGCUCAGGAUGAACGCUAGCGGCGCGCUUAACGCAUGCAAGUCGAGCGAUGAGGCUCCCUUCGGGGGGUACAUCAGCGGCAGACGGGUGAGUAACACGUAGGUAACCUGCCCUCAAGACGGGGAUAACGCCUGGAAACGGGCGCUAAUACCGGAUGACCUUAGUUGGGGAAGCACCGGCUAAGGAAAGGCUUUGGCGCUUGGGGAGGGGCCUGCGGCCCAUCAGUUAGUUGGUAGGGUAACGGCCUACCAAGGCGAAGACGGGUAGGGGGUGUGAGAGCACGGCCCCCCACACUGGGACUGAGACACGGCCCAGACUCCUACGGGAGGCAGCAGCGGGGAAUAUUGCGCAAUGGACGGAAGUCAGACGCAGCGACGCCGCGUGGGUGAAGAAGGCCUUCGGGUUGUAAAGCCCUUUUCUGUGGGAAGAGGAAGGACGGUACCAUAGGAAUAAGCGUCGGCUAACUACGUGCCAGCAGCCGCGGUAAGACGUAGGACGCGAGCGUUAUCCGGAUUUACUGGGCGUAAAGCGUGUGUAGGCGGCGUGACAAGUUGGGCGUGAAAGCCCCGUGCUCAACGCGGGGAGGCCGCACAAUACUGUCAGGCUAGAGGGCAUCAGAGGGGUGUGGAAUUCCCGGAGUAGCGGUAAAAUGCGCAGAUAUCGGGAGGAACACCGGUGGCGAAAGCGGCACCCUGGGGUGCACCUGACGCUGAGAGACGACAGCUAGGGGAGCGAACAGGAUUAGAGACCCUGGUAGUCCUAGCCGUAAACGAUGGAUGCUAGGUGUGGGAGUGAAGAACUUCUGUGCCGCAGCGAACGCGAUAAGCAUCCCGCCUGGGGAGUACGGCCGCAAGGUUAAAACUCAAACGAAUUGACGGGGACCCGCACAAGCAGCGGAGCGUGUGGUUUAAUUCGAUGCUACAC
rnacentral:rRNA from 1 species